rnacentral:rRNA from 1 species
UUGCCCUAGUAACGGCGAGUGAAGCGGCAACAGCUCAAAUUUGAAAUCUGGCUUCGGCCCGAGUUGUAAUUUGCAGAGGAAGCUUUAGGCGCGGCACCUUCUGAGUCCCCUGGAACGGGGCGCCAUAGAGGGUGAGAGCCCCGUAUAGUUGGAUGCCUAGCCUGUGUAAAGCUCCUUCGACGAGUCGAGUAGUUUGGGAAUGCUGCUCAAAAUGGGAGGUAAAUUUCUUCUAAAGCUAAAUACCGGCCAGAGACCGAUAGCGCACAAGUAGAGUGAUCGAAAGAUGAAAAGCACUUUGAAAAGAGGGUUAAACAGCACGUGAAAUUGUUGAAAGGGAAGCGCUUGUGACCAGACUUGCGCCAGGCUGAUCAUCCGGUGUUCUCACCGGUGCACUCGGCCCGGCACAGGCCAGCAUCGGUUCUCGCGGGGGGAUAAAGGUCUCGGGAACGUAGCUCCUCCGGGAGUGUUAUAGCCCGGGGCGUAAUGCCCUCGCGGGGACCGAGGUUCGCGCAUCUGCAAGGAUGCUGGCGUAAUGGUCAUCAGCGACCCGUCUUGAAACACGGACCAAGGAGUCAAGGUUUUGCGCGAGUGUUUGGGUGUCAAACCCGCACGCGUAAUGAAAGUGAACGUAGGUGAGAGCUUCGGCGCAUCAUCGACCGAUCCUGAUGUUUUCGGAUGGAUUUGAGUAGGAGCGUUAAGCCUUGGACCCGAAAGAUGGUGAACUAUGCUUGGAUAGGGUGAAGCCAGAGGAAACUCUGGUGGAGGCUCGCAGCGGUUCUGACGUGCAAAUCGAUCGUCAAAUCUGAGCAUGGGGGCGAAAGACUAAUCG